UACGUAGGGUGCAAGCGUUUGUCCGGAAUUAUUGGCGUAAAGAGCUCGUAGGCGGUUUGUUGCGUCGGCUGUGAAAUCCCGAGGCUCAACCUCGGGUCUGCAGUCGAUACGAGCAAACUAGAGUGUUGCAGGGGAGACUGGAAUUCCUGGUGUAGCGGUGAAAUGCGCAGAUAUCAGGAGGAACACCGGUGGCGAAGGCGGGUCUCUGGGCAACAA
rnacentral:rRNA from 1 species